UGUACGUCUCACCUUUUAAUCCCUUAAAUACGCUCGAGUUGUGGAAUCCUCGAGUAAACACUUCAAUAUCGCGUGAGCAGUAAGUUUCGAAUUUGUUUGCUCGAUUGUAUGGAGUCCAAGAGGUCGAGAUAAAUAGUUCGAAUAAAUUAACUAAACAUACAUAGUCCUCGAUCAAUUUACAUUGUCAAAAUUAAACAAAAAAUUACAAAGGAUCGGGGUGGGGAAGUCAUCCAAUGUGGCCAAGAGGAGGAUCGAGGUUGCUGAUGUCGAUCUCAACGUCGUCCUCAAGACCAUCCUCAUCAUCUCCACCAGAUCCUCCUCCAUCUUCCGAACCCGAGAGCUCCAAUGUAUCAGCAAUGGAGGGCACCGUCUUCAGGUCGUCUAGAGUGACGUCGGGCAACUUCUGCCUGAGGAAGGCCCGGGCUUCUUUCAGAGCAUGGAAGUACGCCCCCGACGCAUACUCCCCUUUUAUCUUGUCGCAGUCCUCGGAGGUUUUAAACUCCUCCCAAGCCCUCUCCCUGACAGCCUCGAGCUCGCGCCCGAAAUCCUUUGUCUUCUGGAUGAGCUCGAGCCUCGCGCCUCGACCUCAUCCUUUGCUGCAACCAAGUCAUCCCUGGCCUUUGCAGCCUCCCUCCUAGCGUCAUCACGCUCCUU
rnacentral:lncRNA from 1 species